AUGAAGCUGGAAAUCAUGCCCAGGCAGAGGGCCCUGGAGGCGGGGCAGCGGGAGGAGGCCAUGGAGAUGAGCGGCCUCGAGCUGUGGAAGCACGAGAAGCCCCCCAAGAUCUUCCCCAUGCCCCCGCCGCUGCCGCCGCUGCUGGCGGCGCCGGGGGCGGGGGGCUACGACGAGGCCACGCUCGUGCCGCCGCUCAACUUCGCCAUGGUCGACGACGGCAUCUACCGCUCCGGCUUCCCCGCCGCCGCCAACUUCCGCUUCCUCAAGUCCCUCAACCUCCGCUCCAUCGUGUACCUCUGCCCGGAGCCGUACCCGGAGACCAACACGGAGUUCCUCGAGAAGAACGGAAUCAAGCUCCACCAGUUCGGAAUUGAGGGCCGCAAGGAACCAUUCGUUGAGAUACCCGAUGAGAAAAUCCGGGAGGCGCUUAAAGUUGUCCUAGAUGUAAGAAAUCAGCCAUUGCUUAUUCACUGCAAGAGAGGCAAGCACCGAACUGGAUGUGUCGUCGGUUGCAUGAGGAAGUUGCAGAAAUGGUGCCUGUCUUCGGUCUUCGAUGAGUACCAGCGCUUCGCCGCUGCGAAAGUGAGGAGCACCGACCUGAGAUUCAUGGAGCUGUUCGACGUCUCGAGCUUGAAGCACCUGACCAACUCACAUUGUUAA
rnacentral:rRNA from 1 species